AUUGAACGCUGGCGGCGUGCUUAACACAUGCAAGUCGAGCGGUAACAGGUGUAGCAAUACAUGCUGACGAGCGGCGAACGGGUGAGUAAUGCUUCGGAAUCUUCCUCGUAGUGGGGAAUAACCUGGGGAAACUCAGGCUAAUACCGUAUACGAACUACGGUUGAAAGCAGGGGAUCGCAAGACCUUGCGCUAUGAGAUGAGCCGAAGUCGGAUUAGCUAGUUGGUGAGGUAAAGGCUCACCAAGGCGACGAUCCGUAGCUGGUCUGAGAGGACGACCAGCCACACUGGGACUGAGACACGGCCCAGACUCCUACGGGAGGCAGCAGUGGGGAAUAUUGGACAAUGGGGGCAACCCUGAUCCAGCGACGCCGCGUGUGUGAAGAAGGCCUGCGGGUUGUAAAGCACUUUUAGUGGGGGAUGAAAAGCCAAAGGGCUAAUAACCCUUUGGUCUUGACCUAACCAAAGAAAAGACACCGGCUAACUACUGUGCCAGCAGCCGCGGUAAU
rnacentral:rRNA from 1 species